ensembl:snRNA U6 U6 spliceosomal RNA
CUGCUCACUUCAACUGCACGUAUGCUGAAAUUGGAAUGAUACAGAAAAGCUUAGCAUGGUCCUUGUGCAAGCUAACAUGCAAAUUUGUGAAGCAUUCCAUAUGUUU